rnacentral:rRNA from 1 species
CAGUCGCCGCGGUAAUACGAGGGGGGCAAGCGUUGUUCGGAAUUAUUGGGCGUAAAGGGUGCGUAGGCGGUUCAGCAAGUCUCGUGUGAAAUCUUCGGGCUCAACCCGAAGUCUGCACGGGAAACUACUGGGCUUGAGUAAUGGAGAGGUGAGUGGAAUUUCCGGUGUAGCGGUGAAAUGCGUAGAUAUCGGAAGGAACACCUGUGGCGAAAGCGGCUCACUGGACAAUAACUGACGCUGAUGCACGAAAGCUAGGGGAGCAAACAGGAUUAGAGACCCCCGUAGUCCCUGUCUCUUAUAC